rnacentral:rRNA from 1 species
AUCAAGUAAGACUACCCGCUGAACUUAAGCAUAUCAAUAAAGCGGAGGA